rnacentral:rRNA from 1 species
AGGUUUGAUCAUGGCUCAGAUUGAACGCUGGCGGCAUGCCUUACACAUGCAAGUCGAACGGUAACGGGCCUUCGGGUGCCGACGAGUGGCGAACGGGUGAGUAAUGUAUCGGAACGUACCUUUCAGUGGGGGAUAACGUAGCGAAAGUUACGCUAAUACCGCAUAUUCUGUGAGCAGGAAAGCAGGGGAUCGCAAGACCUUGCGCUGAUUGAGCGGCCGAUAUCAGAUUAGCUAGUUGGUGAGGUAAAGGCUCACCAAGGCGACGAUCUGUAGCGGGUCUGAGAGGAUGAUCCGCCACACUGGAACUGAGACACGGUCCAGACUCCUACGGGAGGCAGCAGUGGGGAAUUUUGGACAAUGGGGGCAACCCUGAUCCAGCCAUGCCGCGUGAGUGAAGAAGGCCUUCGGGUUGUAAAGCUCUUUCGGCCGGGAAGAAAUCGUAUGGGUUAAUACCCUGUGCGGAUGACGGUACCGGCAUAAGAAGCACCGGCUAACUACGUG